AAUGAACGCUGGCGGCAUGCCUAACACAUGCAAGUCGAACGACAGCACAGUAAGCGUUUGCUCUUACGGGUGGCGAGGGGCGGACGGGUGACGAAUGCAUCGGAUACUUCUUAUACGUGGGUGAUAACGGAGGAACAGUUCCGCUAAUACAGCAUACAUCCUACGGGUUGGAUCAGUAGUUCUUCAGGCUUUUCGCGAUUGUAUUAGCCGAUGUCGGGUCGGAUUAGCUAGUUGGUAAGGUAACGGCUAACCAAGGCUACGAUGCGUAGCCGAUCUGAGAGGAUGAUCAGCCACACUGGAACUGAGACACGGUCCAGACUCCUACGGGAGGCAGCAGUGGGGAAUAUUCGGCAAUGGGCGAAAGCCUGACGGAGCAACACCGCGUGAGUGAUGAAGGUCUUCGGAUCGUAAAGCCCUGUUAUUGGGAAAGAACAGAAGUGGGUGUAUCUAUGGACGUCCUGACGGUACCUAAAGAAUAAGCACCGGCUAACUUCGUG
rnacentral:rRNA from 1 species